AACGAACGCUGGCGGCGUGCUUAACACAUGCAAGUCGAACGCGAAAGGGACUUCGGUCCUGAGUAAAGUGGCGCACGGGUGAGUAACGCGUGGAUAAUCUACCCAAUGAUCUGGGAUAACACUGCGAAAGUGGUGCUAAUACCGGGUACGAUCCUUGAGCGGGAGUUUGGGGAUGAGAGCCGGCCUCUUGACAAAGCUGGUGUUCCGGGAUGGGCUCGCGUCCUAUCAGCUAGUUGGUGGGGUAAUGGCCUACCAAGGCGACGACGGGUAGCUGGUCUGAGAGGAUGAUCAGCCACACUGGCACUGGAACACGGGCCAGACUCCUACGGGAGGCAG
rnacentral:rRNA from 1 species